AUUGAACGCUGGCGGCAGGCCUAACACAUGCAAGUCGAGCGAGCGGCGGACGGGUGAGUCAUGCCUGGGAAUUGCCCAGUCGGGGGGGAUACCAGUUGGAGACGACUGCUAAUACAGCAUCCGAUUGGGUUGGCCAGGGGGGAUUCGCUAGGUGGUGAGGUAGUGGCUCACCAAGGCGACGAUCCCUAGCUGGUCUGAGGGGAGUAUCAGCCACACGGGAACUGAGACACGGUCCAGACGCCUCCGGGACGUAGCAGUGGGGAAUAUUGCACAAUGGGGGAAAUCCUGAUGCACCCAUUCCGCGGGUGUGAAGAAGGCCUUCGGGUUUUAAAGCUCUUUCAGCGAUUAGGCGGUACUCGCAGAAGAAGCACCGGCUAACUCCGUGCCAGCAGCCGCGGUAAUAC
rnacentral:rRNA from 1 species